rnacentral:rRNA from 1 species
CUGUAUUUCCAUGCAAGUCGAGCGGGGUACGGAGCUUGCUUCCCGACGAGUGGCGAACGGGUGAGUAAUACAUCGGAACGUGCCGUGUAGUGGGGGAUAUCGUGGCGAAAGUCUUCUAAUACCGCAUACGAACCACGGAUGAAAGCAGGGGACCUUCGGUCCUUGCGCUAUUCGGGCGGACGAUGUCUUAUUAGUUAGUUGGUGAGGUGAAGGCUCACCAGGUUGACGAUCAGUAGCGGGGCUGAUAGGAUGACCCGCCACACUGGUACUGAGACACGGCCCAUACUCCUACUGUCUGGUGUUGUGGAUAAUCUUGUACAAUGGGAGCA